GCGUACGAGAUUAUGCGCAUGCAUUCUCACCUCGGUCAUUGUUUUGAUAGACAUGCAACGAGUAGUGUGAGAGAGACGCUCACUCUCUGGGAACGGUGUACAACAGUAUGUUGAGCAUUUCAACCCUCGUGAGGUGAAUGUGAUGUUCUGUAGGAGCUGAUUGUUACGCUCUUCACCAAUCAGCUGAUUGAACUUCUAUUCAAUAUGAAGGGAAGGGCAAAAAAGAUAAAAUUUGAAUUGAAGACAAUAAAUUGUUUUCAGCAAUAAAAGCUGCUGUCAUGAAAUGGGACCCAGCUGCUACAGAGGCCCAAAUAAAGUCUGCUGCAUCUGAUCAUCUGAAACAUGCCCCGGGAGAGUCAGGGGUGGUGGCUGUAAAUGAAUAUAUUGUGGACCUUAUAGCAGCCACAUUUUGUUAAUUGUUUACUGUUUUAACAAAAUUUUAUAGCACUUUUAUUUAUAACUUUACUGUUCAGGUUUUAAGUUGUAUUGUGUUAAUUUAUACUUGACUGUUCAGGUUUUAAGUUGUAUUGUGUUAAUUUAUACUUGACUGUUCAGGUUUUAAGUUGUAUUGUGUUAAUUUAUACUUGACUGUUCAGGUUUUAAGUUGUAUUGUGUUAAUUUAUACUUGACUGUUCAGGUUUUAAGUUGUAUUGUGUUAAUUUAUACUUUACUGUUCUGGUUUUAAGCUUGGGUAAAAUUUGUAAUAAAAAUAUAU